rnacentral:rRNA from 1 species
CGUAGGUGACCUGCGGAAGGAUCAUUACUGAAGUGCUUGAAGAUGUUGCUGGCUUCUCUUUUUGAAGCAAUGUGCACUCUUUGAANGUUCACUAUCUCCUUCAAACCCCUUGUGCACUCCUUGUAGGGCUCUCCCCCCUUCAAACAGAGGGGAGGGAGACUCUAUGUCUUUUGCCAUUGUCACACAUUGAAUGUACAUGUAUGGUGCUUUUUACUAUGAUAAAAAAAAAACAACUUUCAACAAUGGAUCUCUUGGCUCUCGCAUCGAUGAAGAACGCAGCGAAAUGCGAUACGUAAUGUGAAUUGCAGAAUUCCGUGAAUCAUUGAAUCUUUGAACGCACCUUGCGCCUCUUGGUAUUCCGAGGGGCAUGCCUGUUUGAGUGUCAUUGAAAUAUCAAAAGCACGAACCUUGCUUUUGGAAUCUGGGGGUUUGCUGGCUUUUGAAUGGUCAGCUCCCCUUAAAUGGAUUAGCGAUGGGUUUUUUCAAUCCAAUCCAUGCUUGUUCUGGCAUUGAUAUGAUAUUUUCCAUGCCUGAGCUUUUAGCUGGUCUUUGAAUACUUGCUCAUUGCUUAUAGCGGUCCUCAUGGACAAAAAUUCUUGACAAACUUGACCUCAAAUCAGGUAGGACUACCCGCUGAACUUAAGCAUAUCAAUAAGCGGAGGAAAAGAAACUAACAAGGAUUCCCCUAGUAACUGCGAGUGAAGAGGGAAGAGCUCAAAUUUAAAAUCUGGCAGUUCUUUGAGCUGUCCGAGUUGUAAUCUAGAGAAGUGCUUUCUGCACUGGACCGUGNACAAGUCUCCUGNCNCUGGNCAUUUANAAGAAG